AUUGAACGCUGGCGGCAGGCUUAACACAUGCAAGUCGAGCGGGGGAAGGUAGCUUGCUACCGGACCUAGCGGCGGACGGGUGAGUAAUGCUUAGGAAUCUGCCUAUUAGUGGGGGACAACAUCUCGCAAGGGAUGCUAAUACAGCAUACGUCCUACGGGAGAAAGCAGGGUAGCUUCGGACGUUGCGCUAAUGGAUGAGCCUAAGUCGGAUUAGCUAGUGGGUGGGGUAAAGGCCUACCAAGGCGACGAUCUGUAGCGGGUCUGAGAGGAUGAUCCGCCACACUGGGACUGAGACGCGGCCCAGACUCCUACGGGAGGCAGCAGUGGGGAAUAUUGGACAAUGGGGGGAACCCUGAUCCAGCCAUGCCGCGUGUGUGAAGAAGGCCUUAUGGUUGUAAAGCACUUUAAGCGAGGAGGAGGCUACUUUAGUUAAUACCUAGAGAUAGUGGACGUUACUCGCAGAAUAAGCACCGGCUAACUCUGUGCCAGCAGCCGCCGUAA
rnacentral:rRNA from 1 species